rnacentral:rRNA from 1 species
UACGUAGGGGGCAAGCGUUGUCCGGAAUCAUUGGGCGUAAAGCGCGUGUAGGCGGCUAGGUAAGUCUGCUCUGAAAGCCCGGGGCUCAACCCCGGGAGGCGGGUGGAUACUGUCUAGCUCGAGUCCGGAAGAGGAGUGUGGAAUUCCUGGUGUAGCGGUGAAAUGCGCAGAUAUCAGGAAGAACACCAAUGGCGAAAGCAGCUCUCUGGGACGGUACUGACGCUGAGACGCGAAAGCGUGGGGAGCGAACAGG